UAGGGAAUCUUCCGCAAUGGACGCAAGUCUGACGGAGCAACGCCGCGUGAGUGAAGAAGGAUUUCGGUUCGUAAAACUCUGUUGUUAGAGAAGAACAGCGCAUAGAGUAACUGUUAUGCGUGUGACGGUAUCUAACCAGAAAGCCACGGCUAACUACGUGCCAGCAGCCGCGGUAAUACGUAGGUGGCAAGCGUUGUCCGGAUUUAUUGGGCGUAAAGCGAGCGCAGGCGGUCAAUUAAGUCUGAUGUGAAAGCCCCCGGCUCAACCGGGGAGGGUCAUUGGAAACUGGUUGACUUGAGUGCAGAAGAGGAGAGUGGAAUUCCAUGUGUAGCGGUGAAAUGCGUAGAUAUAUGGCGGAACACCAGUGGCGAAGGCGACUCUCUGGUCUGUAACUGACGCUGAGGUUCGAAAGCGUGGGUAGCAAACAGG
rnacentral:rRNA from 1 species